rnacentral:rRNA from 1 species
CGGGCAGGCGGCCCGUUAAGUCUGCGGUGAAAUCCCGGGGCUCAACCCCGGAUAUGCCGCGGAUACUGGCGGGCUAGAGACCGGUAGAGGCGAGUGGAAUUCCUGGUGUAGCGGUGGAAUGCGUAGAUAUCAGGAAGAACACCGGUGGCGAAGGCGGCUCGCUGGGCCGGUUCUGACGCUCAGCCGCGAAAGCGUGGGGAGCAAACAGGAUUAGAUACCCUGGUAGUCCACGCCGUAAACGAUGGGCACUAGAUGCCGGGUCUAUAGACGGAUUCGGUGUCGCAGCUAACGCAUUAAGUGCCCCGCCUGGGGAGUACGGCCGCAAGGCUGAA